rnacentral:rRNA from 1 species
CCUACGGGAGGCAGCAGUGGGGAAUAUUGCACAAUGGGGGAAACCCUGCUGCAGCGACGCCGCGUGAGUGAAGAAGUAUUUCGGUAUGUAAAGCUCUAUCAGCAGGAACGAUACAAGACGGUACCUGACUAAGAAGCCCCGGCUAACUACGUGCCAGCAGCCGCGGUAAUACGUAGGGGGCAAGCGUUAUCCGGAAUCACUGGGGGUAAAGUGAGCGUAAACGGCUUGGCAAGCCUGAAGUGAAAGGCUGGGGCCCAACCCCGGGACUGCUUUGGGAACUGUACGGCUGGAGUGCAGUAGAGGUAAGUGGAAUUGCUAGUGUAGCGGUGAAAUGCGUAGAUAUUAGGAGGAACACCAGUGGCGAAGGCGGCUUACUGGACUGUAACUGACGUUGAGGCUCGAAAGCGUGGGGAGCAAACAGGAUUAGAUACCCUUGUAGUC